UCGUCACACUAUCAUUAACUGAAUCCAUAGGUUAAUGAGGCGAACCGGGGGAACUGAAACAUCUAAGUACCCCGAGGAAAAGAAAUCAACCGAGAUUCCCCCAGUAGCGGCGAGCGAACGGGGAGGAGCCCAGAGCCUGAAUCAGCAUGUGUGUUAGUGGAAGCGUCUGGAAAGGCGCGCGAUACAGGGUGACAGCCCCGUACACAAAAGCGCAUGUGCUGUGAGCUCGAUGAGUAGGGCGGGACACGUGGUAUCCUGUCUGAAUAUGGGGGGACCAUCCUCCAAGGCUAAAUACUCCUGACUGACCGAUAGUGAACCAGUACCGUGAGGGAAAGGCGAAAAGAACCCCGGCGAGGGGAGUGAAAAAGAACCUGAAACCGUGUACGUACAAGCAGUGGGAGCACAGGUUUACCUGUGUGACUGCGUACCUUUUGUAUAAUGGGUCAGCGACUUAUAUUCUGUAGCAAGGUUAACCGAAUAGGGGAGCCGGAGGGAAACCGAGUCUUAAUUGGGCGUUAAGUUGCAGGGUAUAGACCCGAAACCCGGUGAUCUAGCCAUGGGCAGGUUGAAGGUUGGGUAACACUAACUGGAGGACCGAACCGACUAAUGUUGAAAAAUUAGCGGAUGACCUGUGGCUGGGGGUGAAAGGCCAAUCAAACCGGGAGAUAGCUGGUUCUCCCCGAAAGCUAUUUAGGUAGCGCCUCGUGAAUUCAUCUCCGGGGGUAGAGCACUGUUUCGGCUAGGGGGCCAUCCCGGCUUACCAACCCGAUGCAAACUGCGAAUACCGGAGAAUGUUAUCACGGGAGACACACGGCGGGUGCUAACGUCCGUCGUGAAGAGGGAAACAACCCAGACCGCCAGCUAAGGUCCCAAAGUCAUGGUUAAGUGGGAAACGAUGUGGGAAGGCCCAGACAGCCAGGAUGUUGGCUUAGAAGCAGCCAUCAUUUAAAGAAAGCGUAAUAGCUCACUGGUCGAGUCGGCCUGCGCGGAAGAUGUAACGGGGCUAAACCAUGCACCGAAGCUGCGGCAGCGAACGUAUCACUUAAAGCGAUUCAGCGGGUUACGAUUGACGGAGCGAAGCGACGUCAAAGCGUAUACAAAGUCGAGUCGGUUUAAGGAUACGUUCGUUGGGUAGGGGAGCGUUCUGUAAGCCUGUGAAGGUGGCCUGUGAGGGUUGCUGGAGGUAUCAGAAGUGCGAAUGCUGACAUAAGUAACGAUAAAGCGGGUGAAAAGCCCGCUCGCCGGAAGACCAAGGGUUCCUGUCCAACGUUAAUCGGGGCAGGGUGAGUCGACCCCUAAGGCGAGGCCGAAAGGCGUAGUCGAUGGGAAACGGGUUAAUAUUCCCGUACUUGGUGUUACUGCGAAGGGGGGACGGAGAAGGCUAUGUUGGCCGGGCGACGGUUGUCCCGGUUUAAGCGUGUAGGUGUGUGUUCCAGGUAAAUCCGGUUCACUUUAACACUGAGGCGUGACGACGAGGCACUACGGUGCUGAAGCAACAAAUGCCCUGCUUCCAGGAAAAGCCUCUAAGCAUCAGGUAACAUCAAAUCGUACCCCAAACCGACACAGGUGGUCAGGUAGAGAAUACCAAGGCGCUUGAGAGAACUCGGGUGAAGGAACUAGGCAAAAUGGUGCCGUAACUUCGGGAGAAGGCACGCUGACACGUAGGUGAAGUGAUUUACUCACGGAGCUGAAGUCAGUCGAAGAUACCAGCUGGCUGCAACUGUUUAUUAAAAACACAGCACUGUGCAAACACGAAAGUGGACGUAUACGGUGUGACGCCUGCCCGGUGCCGGAAGGUUAAUUGAUGGGGUCAGCGCAAGCGAAGCUCCUGAUCGAAGCCCCGGUAAACGGCGGCCGUAACUAUAACGGUCCUAAGGUAGCGAAAUUCCUUGUCGGGUAAGUUCCGACCUGCACGAAUGGCGUAAUGAUGGCCAGGCUGUCUCCACCCGAGACUCAGUGAAAUUGAACUCGCUGUGAAGAUGCAGUGUACCCGCGGCAAGACGGAAAGACCCCGUGAACCUUUACUAUAGCUUGACACUGAACAUUGAGCCUUGAUGUGUAGGAUAGGUGGGAGGCUUUGAAGUGUGGACGCCAGUCUGC
rnacentral:rRNA from 1 species